rnacentral:rRNA from 1 species
CGGAACGGGUGAGUAACGCGUGAGGAACCUGCCUCAAAGAGGGGACGAACAGUUGGAAACGACUGCUAAUACCGCAUAAGCCCACGGCUCGGCAUCGAGCAGAGGGAAAAGGAGCGAUCCGCUUUGAGAUGGCCUCGCGUCCGAUUAGCUAGUUGGUGAGGUAACGGCCCACCAAGGCGACGAUCGGUAGCCGGACUGAGAGGUUGAACGGCCACAUUGGGACUGAGACACGGCCCAG